GGGAAAGGAGAUUUGAUUGUUUCUGCAGUGGCGACCGCAUUCUUGGAAUUCUUAAGAGUGAAAUGACUUUCAUCCUAGAGAACCCAGUGCGGGAGAGGGGAGAACAGACCAGAGCUGACCGGGAGCCACGGUAGGUUGUGGCCCCCAGAUCCCAGGACCCUGCUGCUAGGCACGGCUGUCAGCUGACUGCAAGGAAGGCCAAGGGUGAGCAGGGAAGGCGGCUCCGCACGCAGGGCCAGAGCCUGCCCACCAGCACAGAGUUCCGUGGCCAUGGAGCAUCCCGCCCAGAGGCUGUCCCCACCCACACGGAGCCAUCCAACCAACUCUCCCUGCAGGGGGUGACGGAGAUGGAGGCUCAGCCAUGGAUGGCAGUGCCCUGCAAACCAAUCUACCUCCACCCCCACUGAAGCCUUCCUCAUGACACCCCCAAGCCUCCCACCCUCAGGUCUAGCCAUCUACCCUAGGCCUCCUCCUCCUCCCUGCUUCCCUAGGCCUCCCCCUCCUCACCUCCUCCUCAGGCCUCCCCCUCCUCCCUGCCUCCCUAGGCCUCCCCCUCCUCCCCUCCUCCCUAGGCCUCCCCUCCAGUUCUCCGGUGCCCUCGGGAAUGACCAUUCUUGGUAGAGCCUUCCUUGGUGGCCCAAGGUGACCUGGCCCUACGUGCUCCAGCCGCAGUCUGGCCCUCACUCUGCCUGUGACCUGGCUCCAUUGCCGAGUCAGAAGGGAAUCACUGGCUUGUUCUUUCUCUGUGUCAGGAAACCCUGGCAAAGCCCCAGCUGAAAGCUGGCUUGGCAUUCGGUGGUGGGUCUGGAAUCACUGGAACUGUUUCCCCUGCUUUACAGCUGAGGCCAGUGAGGCCUCACAGCUCCCGUGCAGGUUGCCUGAGGCUCCAGGAACCUCUGCUGAGGAGGGGCUGGUACAGUCCAGCCGGGUAGCAGGAAUUACCAGCUGAAAAACAAUGUGGAGAUGUCAGCCAUGGCGUGACAAAGGCUUCUGCCAACGCGUCUGCCCGUGGACCCAGGCCUGUCACUUUUCCGAUCGGUAAUAAGCUGGUUUCAAUGGUGAUGCCCUCUAACUCCGGUUCCACCGAACCUGCAAUUAACUGGAAUAGAUUUUCCUUCCCCUUUUACAACUACUAUAAGAAAACAGUCGAAUUACAUGCAAAUACAAUGCUCUUAGGAAUGUCUGUUUAAACUGUGUAAGAUUUGAGCAUCUAUUGAAUGAAAGGAACAACCAGUAUUAGGGGAAGGGUGGAGCAGGGGAAGGCCCUCCAACCCCGUCUGAGGCUCUGAGGAGCUCUGGGGCCUGCAGGACACCAGCUCUUCCAGUUGGUUUCUGGUUCCCUGCAGUGGGGUUCCCCGCAGUGGGGUUCCCCAGGGCCCCUUCCAGCCCUACUGAAGCAGAAUGUCUGAACCUGAGGCCUGCGGGGCUGAAGAGUUAAGAUUCCGAUGCACCCAAAUGCUCUGCACUUCAGUUUUUACGCCUGUAAAGUAGGAGUAACAGUGUUUCCCCUCCGAUGUUUGCUCUGUGGGUUCCAGAGUUCAUGGCUGAGGUGGGUUCCAGCCCAGUUUGGCGCACGGUAAGGCCUCGUGUUUGCUGUGUGGGUUACAGAGCUCAUGGCUGCGGUGGGUUCCGGCCCAGUUUGGUGCAUGCUGAGGCCCCGUGUUUGCUGUGUCACCACUGGCCACAGCCACACUAGACCUAGUGUCACCACUGGCCACAGCCACACUAGACCUCAGGCAAGUUCGUGCACAUACAGGGGCUCAGAGAGUAUUUACACACCCAGUAAGCACUGGGGCAGGCCACCGGUCCUCCACAGGCCAGUUCUGCCGCCCGGGGACACUGGGCAGUGUCUGCAGAGGCUUUGGGUGGUGGCGUCAGAGGUGGGUGGGGCGGGCCUCUCGUGGGUGGAGGCCGAGGACACUGCUCAGCAGCCUGCAGUGCACGGGGCGGCCCCGCAGGGAGAAUGAUCCGUCCCAAAUGUCAGUGGUGCUGAGGCUGAAAAUCCCUGGGUAAGAGAGAGCAGAUAAUAGGAUGGAAAACAGGAGGGCAUACUGGGGGUUGGGGAGCAAGAGAGAAUGUGAGGACCCCUGAGUCAAAGGACGCUGUUGGAGAGGAGGCCUGGCGCCUUUGCUGCCCCACGAGGUGUGCUGAUCCCAUCCACGUCCAGGCGACAAAGCCCUGCAAGGCUGAGUGCUUUCCCCCUUACGUUCCCUGACUUCCCGGGAACUUACGCUGGAUUUGAGACCUGGGAACAUUGGGGAUCCGAGAGGCGGAAGGCUCAGCCAGGCUCACCCGGUGUCCUACACACUGAUCCGGGUCUACCGCCUUCUCCCAUGACUGAGCUCCGGCAGAGCCCCCCACCAUGGAUAUUUGGGCUCGUUCCAGUCAGGAAGAUGACCAGGAGCUCAGAACAGAGCCCCGUGGGCCACAGCAGGUGUGCUGAGAGAGGACACAUGUUUCCUGGAGCCCUAAGAGUGUCACUACCUCACAUUGCUCAGGAGACCCCAGGCUCAGGGAGCCAGAGGCCUGUGAGGUCACAGUCAGUGGCCAGUGGCCAACUAGCAAAGCAGGGAGAAGCCCCCGGCCUGCAGGCCUCCACUGCAUCCUGUGACCUCAGUGGGAACCAACUGCAGGGAACAGUGGUCAGACCCACUCCAGUCCAUCCAGGGUGAUGCAGGCCCCAGGGCUGUGGGACGAGCUGGGCUGGGUUCCCCCAGGAGGCGAGGGCUGGGCUGGACCGAGGACGGCAGGGGGUGAGGGCAGAUCCACAAAGCUGGGUGAUUCCAAGCUGUUGCUGGCUCCGCUGCGGCACUCAGGCCUACACUCACAGGAGCCCACCGGGCUCUUGCCUGCUCCCAGCCUCUCCAGCUCCCCAUCUCUGGGCUGUCAGCGGCGCUCUAAUUAGCAGCCCGCAGGUGACACACACGCAGCACAUCUGUGACUUCUCCAGCGCCGGCUCCAGUGCAGCUCGUGAAAAGCCCCGCGGUGGUUUUCAUCAUGAUCCUCAGCGCCUCUGGGGAGAAAACCUGACAUGUGGGAUGUGAUGAUGAGCGUGAGCCCAGACGAGGAACAGCAGCUGAUACAGAAGCCCGAGGCUCUCCGAUGCUGUCAGCCACGCCUUCCUCCACCACCGCCCCAUCAGCUCGGAUCACAGGCCCUAGAGAAACUUCCAGAACCGUGGCCAGGUACACAGCAGUUUGCAGGACAGCCUGCGCCGUGCUCUAAUGGAUUGUCCUAGAGCCAAUGAUGGCACCCAGGAAUCGGAGUAGAGCACACAUCUUAUACUCCUGAGACCCUGGGGUAUGGGUUCUGGGGUAGCCACGGCCAAGGUACCCCUUGGAUUGAGGCGGCUGGCAGCACUACAGAUUCCAUCAGUGGGGCCGGGAGCAGUGGCUCAUGCCUGUAAUUCCAGCACUUUGGGAGGCCGAGGUGGGCAGAUCACCUGAGGUCGGGA